AAGUAUAGCCAUAGAGGGUGAUAGUCCCGUAUGCGAAAAACAAAGCUUAGCUAGCAGUAUCCUGAGUAGGGCGGGACACGAGGAAUCCUGUCUGAAUCCGGGUCGACCACGAUCCAACCCUAAAUACUAAUACCAGAUCGAUAGUGCACAAGUACCGUGAGGGAAAGGUGAAAAGAACUGAGGUGAUCAGAGUGAAAUAGAACCUGAAACCAUUUGCUUACAAUCAUUCAGAGCACUAUGUAGCAAUACAGUGUGAUGGACUGCCUUUUGCAUAAUGAGCCUGCGAGUUGUGGUGUCUGGCAAGGUUAAGCAAACGCGAAGCCGUAGCGAAAGCGAGUCUGAAUAGGGCGCUUAGUCAGAUGCUGCAGACCCGAAACGAAGUGAUCUAUCCAUGAGCAAGUUGAAGCUAGUGUAAGAACUAGUGGAGGACUGAACCCAUAGGCGUUGAAAAGCCCCGGGAUGACUUGUGGAUAGGGGUGAAAGGCCAAUCAAACUUCGUGAUAGCUGGUUCUCUCCGAAAUAUAUUUAGGUAUAGCGUUGUGUCGUAAUAUAAGGGGGUAGAGCACUGAAUGGGCUAGGGCAUACACCAAUGUACCAAACCCUAUCAAACUCCGAAUACCUUAUAUGUAAUCACAGCAGUCAGGCGGCGAGUGAUAAAAUCCGUCGUCAAGAGGGAAACAACCCAG
rnacentral:rRNA from 1 species